rnacentral:rRNA from 1 species
CCGCCGGCGACCGGCGCACAGGUGAGUAACACGUAUGCAACCUGGCCGUGACAGAUGGAUAACCGGGAGAAAUCCCGCCUAAUACAACAUAAUGCCGGGAGGGGACAUCCCCUGCCGGCCAAAGGGGGCGACCCCGGUCACGGAUGGGCAUGCGGCGCAUUAGGUAGUUGGUGGGGCAACGGCCCACCAAGCCGACGAUGCGUAGGGGUUCUGAGAGGAAGGUCCCCCACAUUGGAACUGAGACACGGUCCAAACUCCUACGGGAGGCAGCAG